UACGUAGGGGGCGAGCGUUAUCCGGAAUUACUGGGCGUAAAGCGCACGUAGGCGGCUUUGUAAGUUAGAGGUGAAAGCCUGGAGCUCAACUCCGAGAUUGCCUUUAAAGACUGCAUCGCUUGAAUACUAGGAGAGGUGAGUGGGAAUUCCGAAGUGUAGAGGUGAAAAUUCGUAGAUAUUCGGAAGAACACCAGUGGCGAAGGCGGCUCACUGGACUGGGUAUUGACGCUGAGGUGGCGAAAAGCGUGGGGAGCAAAC
rnacentral:rRNA from 1 species